rnacentral:rRNA from 1 species
GUGGGGAAUCUUCCGCAAUGGACGAAAGUCUGACGGAGCAACGCCGCGUGAGUGAUGAAGGUCUUCGGAUUGUAAAGCUCUGUUAAUCGGGACGAAAGAGCCUAGUGUGAAUAAUGCUAGGAAGUGACGGUACCGGAAUAGAAAGCCACGGCUAACUACGUGCCAGCAGCCGCGGUAAUACGUAGGUGGCAAGCGUUGUCCGGAAUUAUUGGGCGUAAAGCGCGCGCAGGCGGAUCUGCCAGUCUGUCUUAAAAGUUCGGGGCUUAACCCCGUGAUGGGAUGGGAACUACAGAUAUAGAGUAUCGGAGAGGAAAGUGGAAUUCCUAGUGUAGCGGUGAAAUGCGUAGAUAUUAGGAAGAACACCAGUGGCGAAGGCGACUUGCUGGCCAGCAACUGACGCUGAGGCGCGAAAGCCAGGGGAGCAAACGGGAUUAGAAACCCCAGUAGUCC